CCCAACAACGAUCAAAAUGAUGCUGUUUUGAAAAAAAAAUUGCAGAAACAGAAAGAGACAUGUAUGCCUUUGAAGAUAAAAGGAGGAGGAGCUAAUAGGAAAAAGGAGGCGUUCGAAAGGGGAUCUCCUCUCUUGCAGCUGCCUACAAAAAAGAGACAGAGAGAGACAGAGAAGAAGAUCUGGAGGAGAGAGAUAAGAGCUAGAGAGAAAAGGCAGAAAUUGGAUCUACAAAGCUUGGAGGCCAAGAGACGAAGUGUGAGCUUUGUCAGAAAAUACAAUGAACACGAGCGAAAGGCAGCAACAGCCUGAGUAGGAGAAGUAGAUUUGUGCGAAUGCGAGCUGGUGUGGUGUGAACAAGAAAGCAGAAGAGCGGAGUGAAAGAAGAAAAAUAAUCACGUACAAUUACUACAUGGGAAGACUUACCUAAAAAAUGUUUGGCUAAGUUUUUUCCUCCAGUUAAGAUGGCAAAGAUGAGAAACAUCAUCACCAGUUUUUAUUCAAUAGAUGAAGAGACGUUAUAUGAGGUAUGAGAACGAUUCAAAUAGUUGAUUAAAAGAUGUCCUCAUUACGGGUUACCUAAGUGGUUAUUAGUUCAAACCUUUUAUAACGGAUUGAGCCAACAAACAAGGAUCAUAAUCAAUGUAGCUACUUGAAGAGCUUUGAUGGGGAAAUCCACAGACGAUGCUUAUGAAUUAUUAGAAGAGAUGACCAUGAACAACUAUCAAUGGCCAACAGAAAGAAGUCAACCCAAAA